rnacentral:lncRNA from 1 species
GGUUCCUGUCUGCCAGGAUCUUGGCCCCUGAAUACCCCGUGGGGGGCACUCCUGACCCCGGACCCCAUGCCUGGGGUUCCUCCCCUAACCUGCCUCUCGGCCGCCAGGACGCCGUGGAGGACCGGCUGGACAGGAACCUGUGGCCCUUCGUAUCCGACCCCGCCCCCACGGCCAGCUCCCAGGCCGCUGUCAGUGCCCGCUUCGGUCACUGGCACAAGAACAAGGCUGGCAUAGAAGCCCGGGCGGGCCCCCGGCUCAUCGUGUAUGUCAUGGGCGGUGUGGCCAUGUCAGAGAU